rnacentral:lncRNA from 1 species
UUUUCAGACCAUAUUUUCUCUUACCUGUGAGAAAGAUUUUACUUCAAAAUUUUACAUGUGUUUAUCGCGCAAGUGUUUUCUAGCUGAUAAUAACAAAAGGAAGCCGGUAGCAACAUCUACUAAGACAGAAAUUAAUGAGGAUUAUAAAGAUGACGAUAACAGAAGGAAGCCGGUAACAACAUCUACUAAGACAGAAAUUAAUGAAGAUUAUAAAGUUG